GAGGACCGUAUUCAUGGAAGAGGAUUGAACAGACUACUGAGUUCUUAAGAGAAAAAUGGCACUUAAGAAAUUGAUGGUGAUAUCAAAGGAAGGUUACUUAUUACUCUUGGACUUUGAUGAUGAGGACGAUGACAUAAAAGUUUCAGAGGAGGCUCUUGCGGAAGAGAUGAAGUAGACAGUAUGUUGGAUAAAUCUGGAGUAAAGAACCCAGCAAUUGGUAAAGAUGAGAAUAUAUCGCCUCAAGUAAAAGGAGAUGAAGACAUGGGAGAUGAAGUUGACAGUAUGUUGGCUACAUCUGGAGGUCUUUUCUCCUGAGAACACGGGACUCCAGCAUCUUCGGAUUCUGCUCUUGGAGGUGGGUUUGCCCCACAUCCUCUAUAUUGCAGAAAACAAGACUAGGCUCUACCUCUGUAGAUCAAGCACGACUGAAAUCCGUGCUCUCAAAAGAUGCUGGGGAGAAAGAGUGCCAUUCUUCACAAAUGCUGCUGCAUCAUUGGACUGAAAGUGAAUGGCCCAUGUGUUGCCACUGAUGUGAGCCAUUUGCCUGUUGUGCUUCA
rnacentral:precursor_RNA from 1 species